rnacentral:misc_RNA from 1 species
AACGCACCUUGCGCUCCUUGGUAUUCCUUGGAGCAUGCCUGUUUGAGUAUCAUGAAAUUAUCAAAAUAAUUCUUUUGUUCAUUCGAUUGAAUUUAUUUUGGACUUGGAGGUCUGCAGAUCCAUGUCUGCUCCUCUUAAAUAAAUUAGCUGGAUCUCAGUGAGCUCGGUUCCACUCGGCGUGAUAAGUAUCACUCGCUGAGGACACUGUAAAAGGUGGCCGGGAUUGCGGAUGAACCGCUUCUAAUCGUCUAUUCACUUAGACAACAAUACUUUAUGAUCUGAUCUCAAAUCAGGUAGGACUACCCGCUGAACUUAA